UACAAAAUAUAAACGUAGGUAUUUGUUAGGCAAUUUGUUUUUUAGUAGUUGAAAAAUUUAAACUAUUUAAUGGAAGACUCAAAAAAAGUUUAUUAGAAAAUCCAAAAAGAAAUGCUUAUCCAACUGUUAAAAAAAGAUACACAAUUAAUUUCUGGGAAGCUUACAAGAUAUUUCAUAUUAAAAAAUACUCGAAAUUGAUGGAUAGUGAUUUUCCGAAACUUUGCAAGCACUUCCUGGCUGUGUGAAGCAUUGGAGUCAAUGGAAAUGAAUUCCCGUAUUCGAGUUAGGAGUGCAAAAGCCAUGGUAAAUAGAAAUUUAAGUGGUACUGGAGGUGGACCAUACGUUUCGCAAACACUAAACUGUGAUAAACCCUAUCACAAUAAUUGAUGGAUAUGAGAACAUCUUAAUGCCGGUUAAAAAUUGUAUAAAACAGUAAUGAGGUGUAACGCGUAAAAAAUAAGGACAAAAGAACAACAACAGAACAGAUUCAUCAAAAUUAAAUAUUGAGUUUGAACAAGAGAAAUCCAUCAAUUGACGACUAUUGAACCAGAAGUUUAAUGUAAUCAACAAAUGAUGCAAAUUGAAGAAAGUCCAAAUAACAAGGGAAAGAGAAAUUUGCAAAUCAAAAUCAUUAGCAACUACUUUGUGGGAAAUCCAUGAAGCAAAGGAGGAAGCAUAAAACAAGCGAUUGAAGGAAAAACACAAUUUUCUAAAUUGAUUUUCGAUGAACAUAUUACUUCUUAAGUAAAAUAACUUGGUUAAUAUACUUUUAUUAACCAUACAUAUCUCAUUAGUAAUAAGUUAAAGUUUAUAAAAAUAACAUAAGAAAGUUAAAAUGAAUUACCCAAUAUCUCCCAAUAUAUGAUAUUGAAAUCCACAUAAUUAAUUGAGGCAAAUCGUUAGUAACUGACAGAAUGGUUUGAGACAAGGAUAUACAUUUCAUGACUAUUACAAAUCUCUUGUAAUGUUAAAGCCGGUAUGUCAUAACGACUGACAUAAUAUGUUGAUUUAUUUUUAUGUUGUGGAGUUUGAACUGGUAUUGGGGUGCCAUCAAUGCAUUCCAGAAAAUAUUUAAGUAUUAAACAAUA
rnacentral:lncRNA from 1 species